GAGGAGAGUAGAGCAGGACCAAGAGGUGUUCUGUACCUGUCUGUCCAGGAGGGAGGAGAGUAGAGCAGGACCAAGAGGUGUUCUGUACCUGUCUGUCCAGGAGGGAGGAGAGUAGAGCAGGACCAAGAGGUGUUCUGUACCUGCUGUCCAGGAGGGAGGAGAGUGAGCAGGACCAAGAGGUGUUCUGUACCUGUCUGUCCAGGAGGGAGGAGAGUAGAGCAGGACCAAGAGGUGUUCUGUACCUGUCUGUCCAGGAGGGAGGAGAGUAGAGCAGGACCAAGAGGUGUUCUGUACCUGCCUGUCC